rnacentral:rRNA from 1 species
GACGUAGGGUGCAAGCGUUGUCCGGAUUUAUUGGGCGUAAAGAGCUCGUAGGCGGCUUGUUGCGUCGACUGUGAAAACCCGCGGCUUAACCGCGGGCUUGCAGUUGAUACGGGCAGGCUAGAGUUCGGUAGGGGAGACUGGAAUUCCUGGUGUAGCGGUGAAAUGCGCAGAUAUCAGGAGGAACACCGGUGGCGAAGGCGGGUCUCUGGGCUGACACUGACGCUGAUGCGCGAAAGCUAGGGGAGCGAACGGG